rnacentral:misc_RNA from 1 species
AACAUACCUAAAACGUUGCUUCGGCGGGAACAGACGGCCCCGUAAGACGGGCCGCCCCCGCCAGAGGACCCCUAACUCUGUUGCUAUAUGUAUCUUCUGAGUAAACAAGCAAAUAAAUUAAAACUUUCAACAACGGAUCUCUUGGCUCUGGCAUCGAUGAAGAACGCAGCGAAAUGCGAUAAGUAAUGUGAAUUGCAGAAUUCAGUGAAUCAUCGAAUCUUUGAACGCACAUUGCGCCCGCCAGUAUUCUGGCGGGCAUGCCUGUUCGAGCGUCAUUACAACCCUCAGGCCCCCGGGCCUGGCGUUGGGGAUCGGCGGAAGCCCCCCGCGGGCACGCGCCGUCCCCCAAAUACAGUGGCGGUCCCGCCGCAGCUUCCAUUGCGUAGUAGCUAACACCUCGCAACUGGAGAGCGGCGCGGCCAUGCCGUAAAACACCCAACUUCUGAA